rnacentral:rRNA from 1 species
CAAUAGCGUAUAUUAAAGUUGUUGCGGUAAAAAAGCUCGUAGUUGGAUUUCUACCGAAGAUAGCCGGUCGGGUCUUCGACCUUGUAUCUGGUUUUGUCUUUGGUAUCCUCAUCGGGAACGUUUCUGCGCUUUAUUGCGUGGUGCGGUAUCUAUGACUUUUACUUUGAGGAAAUUAGAGUGUUCACGGCAGGCAAACGCCUUGAAUAUAUUAGCAUGGAAUAAUAACAUAGGAUCUUCGUCCUAUUUUGUUGGUUUCUAGGGCUAAGAUAAUGAUUAAUAGGGAUAAUUGGGGGCAUCUGUAUCAACGCGUCAGAGGUGGAAUUCUUGGAUUGCGUUGCGACAAACUACUGCGAAAGCAUUUGCCAAGGAUGUUUUCAUUGA